GCGUGAGCCACCGCGCCCAGCCAGUAAUACUUUUUAUAAUCCCCUUUCUCUUCUCCCUCAUUUUCUCCAAUCCCGCUCCCCUAACCCACAGAAUCCAGUUGCGCACCCUAGUUCCCAGGGCGGGUCCCCAGCCCUCGGCUCUUUGCAAUGUAAAUUAAGUCAGCUUCCCCGUAAAUACCUUGCGCUGGCCUCUCCCAGGCUUUUCAGUUCUGCCCUUUCUAUAAUUCUGCAUCACAAAAGUUCAGAACCAGUCUGGCCAGGAUCUACUCUCCCAGAGAUGGGAAGUGGGACGCAGUCGCUGCAAGGUAUCAGAAAUGGGGUCGGGACAGGAGGCGCAGCUUGCAGUGAGCCGAGAUAGCGCCACUGCACUCCAGCCUGGGCGAAAAAGCGAGACUCCAUUUCAAAAAAAAGAAAAGAAAAGAAAAAAAAAGAAAUGGGGUCGGGAAGCCUGGAGGAGGGGACGCGGCGGCGCCCCUGCACUCACCCACACCUCCAAACCCUGCGCAGGGAACAUCCCCGCGCGUCCCCGCUGCCCCGCUUCAAGCCUAGCGCAUGGCUCCUCCCCGUGCCUUGAAGAUGCCACGGGGCUGAGCCACCUUGCACAAAAAGAUUUGGAACCCACACCUUCUUAGAAUCAAGGCCUGGGGAUUAAAGCCCCUCCACGAUUAGGUCUUCCGCCCCAAGGGAGAGCAAGAAGACGAGCGGCCACUCGGUGUCCCCCUGAGCCGUAUCCAGGGCCACUCGGGGCUCAGCCAGACCGCGAGGUCUUGGUGUUCGUUCCUCCCUAACUUGGCCGUGGGGCGGCACAGCAGGCUUCCUGGCCCCAGCGCUUCCCCUUAGGGCCAGAUUGGCCUCCGAGUGUAGCAGGACUAGCCACAGACAAAACUCCUCAGACACCGAGUUAAAGAAGGAAGGGGUUUAUUCAGCGAGGGCCAUUGGCAAGACUCCUGUCUCAAGAGCCGAGAUCCCCAAGUGAGCAAUUCCUGUCCUUUUUAAGGGCUCACAACUCUAAGGGGGUGCGUGUGAGAGGGUGGUGAUUGAUUGAGCAAGCAGGGGGUACAUGACCGGGGGCUGCACGCACUGGUAAUUAGAUCAGAACAAAACAGGAUAGCGAUUUUCACAAUGCAUUUCUAUACAAUGUCUGUAAUCUAUAGAUAACAUAACCGAUUAGGUCAGGGGUCGAUCUUUAACUACCAGGCCCAGGGUGCGGCCUGGGCUGUCGGCCUGUGGAUUUCAUUUCUGCCUUUUAGUUUUUACUUCUUUUUUUUGGAGGCAGAAAUUGGGCAUAAGACGAUAUGAGGGGUGGUCUCCUCCCUUAGGAGGAAGCGAAUUAGCUGACGUAGUCUCCAGCCAGAGGCUCGGCUAGCUCCGUGAGAAGCGAUCCCCGUGGGAUCUUAAGAACACCCUCGAGGCCGGGCGUGGUGGCACGCCCCUGUAAUCCCAGCACUUUGGGAGGCCGAGGCGGCGGAUCACGAGAUAGGAGAUCGAGAUCUGGCUAACAUGGUGAAACCCCGUCUCUACUAAAAAUACAAAAAAUUAGCCGGGCGCGGGGGCACCCGCCUGUAGUCCCAGCUGGGAGGCUGAGGCAGGAGAAUGGCGUGAACCCGGGAGGCGGAGGUUUCAGUGAGCCAACAUCGCGCCACUGCACUUCAGCCUGGGCAACAGAGCGAGACUCCGUCUCAAAAAAAUAAAAAAGAACGGCCUCGAAUCUACUCGCAGGGACCUCAGGUAUGGAAGUUUCUUCUGUCUUUUGGGAAUCCAGCCAGGUCAGGCCUGAGUCCCAGAUCCCAAAGACACCCACAACCCUGGGGUACCGGGGACAGUCUCAAGCUGAAGUAGAAAAGAAUCUGCAUUUCAAUGCAUUGUAUACAUCCUUCCAGGUUCCUUCUUUGAGGUACUGCAUUUUAAGUCGUAGGUAAUUGAUAGUAAAUUCUGUGACUUACCUAAUUUGUAUUACUUCCUUUCCCACGCCCCCAACGAAUUUUUGCGUCCAUUUGCAUUUCAACAUUAUUUUACUCUCCGUAUAAAUUUGUGUUUUUUCUAUUCUCCCUUGAAUCGGUUAUAACAUUUACCUGGCUAUCUCAUACAAGUAAAAUAAGGUCCUUCACCUGCGUUCAUUUUUAUAUCGCUAUAUCACUUUUAUUCAUGAUUUGACUUUUUUCUGAAAAUUACUUUUUUAACAAUGAUUAGAGGCAGAAUACGAUUUUUUUUCCCUUUUUUUUUUUUUAAUGUAGAGUGUCUCGCUCUAUCGCCCGGUGGUGCAGUGCCAAAGAUCAUAACUCACGGCAGGCUCAAACUCCUGGGCUCCAGCGGGUCUCCCACUUCGGCCUACCAAAGUGCUGGGAUUACAGUGCGAACCACGGCUCCAGGGACAAUAACUGCAAUAUUAAAGUAACUGAAGCUUCAGGCCCCCGUCCAAGGUCCUGUACCCAAUUUUGUAUUUUUUCUUAAAGAGAUCCUCAAUCGGUGCCGGGCUCAGUGACUCACGCCUGUAAUCCCAGCACUUGGGGAGGCCGAGGUGGGCAGAUCACUUAAGGUCAGGAGUUCGAGACCAGCCUGGCCAACAUGAUGAAACCCUGUCUCUACUAAAAAUACAAAAAUUAGCUGGGCGUGGUGGCGCAUGCCUGUAGUUCCAGCUACUCGAGAAGUAGACAGGAGAAGUGAGACAGGAGAAUCACUUGAACCUGGGAGGCAGAGUUUGCAGUGAGUGGAGAUCACACCACUGCACUCCAGCCUGUGCAACAGAGCUAGAUGCUGUCUAUAUAUAUAUUAUAUAUAUAUUACAUAUAUAAAUAAUAUAUAUUAUAUAUAAUAUAUAUUAUAUAUAAUAUAAAUAAUAUAUAUUAUAUAUAAUAUAUAAA
rnacentral:lncRNA from 10 species